UACGUAGGUGGCAAGCGUUAUCCGGAUUUACUGGGUAUAAAGGGCGUGUAGGCGGGACUGCAAGUCAGAUGUGAAACCCAUGGGCUCAACCCAUGGCCUGCAUUUGAAACUGUAGUUCUUGAGUGAUGGAGAGGCAGGCGGAAUUCCGUGUGUAGCGGUGAAAUGCGUAGAUAUACGGAGGAACACCAGUGGCGAAGGCGGCCUGCUGGACAUUAACUGACGCUGAGGCGCGAAAGCGUGGGGAGCAAACAGG
rnacentral:rRNA from 1 species